CAGUAGCCGCGGGAAUACGUAGGUGGCGAGCGUUGUCCGGAUUUAUUGGGCGUAAAGGGAGUGUAGGCGGUCUUUUAAGUCUGAUGUGAAAGCCCACGGCUCAACCGUGGAGGGUCAUUGGAAACUGGGAGACUUGAGUGCAGAAGAGGAGAGCGGAAUUCCAUGUGUAGCGGUGAAAUGCGUAGAUAUAUGGAGGAACACCAGUGGCGAAGGCGGCUCUCUGGUCUGUAACUGACGCUGAGGCUCGAAAGCGUGGGGAGCAAACAGGAUUAGAUACCCCGGUAGUCCCUGUCUCUUAUAC
rnacentral:rRNA from 1 species